rnacentral:rRNA from 1 species
UACGUAGGGUGCAGGCGUUAAUCGGAAUUACUGGGCGUAAAGCGUGCGCAGGCGGUUUGUUAAGACAGAUGUGAAAUCCCCGGGCUUAACCUGGGAACUGCGUUUGUAACUGGCAAGCUAGAGUGUGGCAGAGGGGGGUGGAAUUCCAAGUGUAGCAGUGAAAUGCGUAGAUAUUUGGAGGAACACCAAUGGCGAAGGCAGCCCCUGGGUUAACACUGACGCUCAUGCAC